GACGGAGGGUGCUAGCGUUGUUCGGAAUGACUGGGCGUAAAGGGCGCGUAGGCGGCUUGGUCAGUCGGGUGUGAAAGCCCGGGGCUCAACCCCGGAACGGCAUCCGAUACGGCCAGGCUGGAGACCGGGAGAGGAGGGUGGAAUACCCAGUGUAGAGGUGAAAUUCGUAGAUAUUGGGUGGAACACCGGUGGCGAAAGCGGCUCUCUGGCCCGGAUCUGACGCUGAGGAGCGAAAGCGUGGGGAGCAAACAGG
rnacentral:rRNA from 1 species